rnacentral:rRNA from 1 species
GACGGAGGGGGCAAGCGUUGCUCGGAAUCACUGGGCGUAAAGGGCGCGUAGGCGGGAUGGCAAGUCGGUCGUGAAAUCCCUGGGCUCAACUCAGGGGGGUCGGCCGAUACUGCCGUUCUUGAGGGAUGCAGAGGAGACUGGAAUUCCCGGUGUAGCGGUGAAAUGCGUAGAUAUCAGGAGGAAUACCGGUGGCGAAAGCGACUCUCUGGACGGCAACUGACGCUGAGGCACGAAAGCGUGGGGAGCAAACAGG